CGGCUACGGCCGGUCCCCUCGCUUGUAGGGACUCGCCUCCCGGGACAGCCACCACAGGCCUCUCGCUGCCCUCUGAGGGGAAGGGAGGAACCAAAAGGUGGAAGAGAGACGCAGUGUGCUCUUCCGCCGCUCAAUCCUGCUGACGGUGCGCGGACCCUCCGCGCUCUGGUUCCCUUCCGCAGUCCGCGCCUUGAGGCGGGCGCCAGGGAGCUGUCCGUCCCAUUGGUUCUGAAUCAGGCGCUACGGAAACGCUCCAGAAUCUUGCUUCAGACCCCAUGGGGGAUGUUCCUCACAACUGCAGGUGGAGGAAGGAAGGGUUGUGUUAAUUAUUUCACAGACAAUGUGUCCUUCAAGAAACUAGAAGAAGCUGGGCUUCCAAAAAUGAGACAGACAUUAGAAGAGCCCAUUUACAAGCAGCAGGAGGAGCAGAAGAAACAGUGAUGUGGAGGAGGUGAUUCACAACUUCCUCUGUGAGGAAAAAGGAACCACGGAGGCCUGAGGUGUCCCCAGGGCCACUAGCCGGCUGUAAAAGGCACUGCUGAUCUGGAAUGGUGCCUCAAUCUUGAACAUUUGAAAUUGCUUCUACUCCAUUGUUAUUUUUAGUAGAGUUGUUUCUUCAAGAAAAUUGCUCCCUGAUCUUGUCUCUCCCUUGCUCUCAGACUAUGUGCAUGUUUUAACACAUUUGGUCAUGAUAGUCUACUUUUCUUAAUCUUAUAGUUGUUACUAUACUGUGAAAAAUGGAAAAUUUGAGUAUGUCGGUUGUAUGAUCUUACAAUGUAAAUUACUGAGACUUGCAAUGCAACAGCUUAUCAAUCCUUGAAGAUAUUUUUAUUUGAUAUCUUCUUAUGGAAUUCUUGUCUGCAAAUCUUAAGCUGAAAAGUCACUAGAAAUCUGUUUAGAAAUGAAUUAAAAAUUACAUUGCUUUUUUCUUGCUAUGUGCACUAAGAAUUGCUGUCAAAUUGUCCAUAAAGUCUGUGUACUGAUUCUCAAAACAACUGAUAAAAUCUUUAUUGUGAAAGGAAAAAAAAAAGGGGGGGGGGGGAUCUGAACAGGCACCUCAUGAAAGAAGACAUACAGAUGGCACAUAAACUCGUGAAAUGAUUCUCAACACCAUUUGUUACUAGGGUACUGCAAAUUAAAAAAUGAUGAGAUACUACUUCACACCUAUUACAAGGACUAAGAAUCCAGAAAAUUAACAACACUGGCAAGGUUGCAGAGAAACUUUCAUCCAUUGCUGAUGGGAAGACAAAAUGGUACAACCUUUAAAUGACAGCUUUGUAUUUUCCUAUAAAACUAAUUUUACCAUAUAAUUUAGCAAUCUCACUUCCAACUGAGCUGAAAUUUUAUGUCAUACAAAAACCUAUACCUGAAUAUUUAUAGCAUCUUUAUCCAUAAUUGUUAAAAACUAGAAGCAACCAAGAUGUCUUUCAAGACAAAUGUAUGAAUAAACUGUUACACCCUAAAAUGGAAUAUUAUUCA
rnacentral:lncRNA from 1 species